GAAAGAUUCAUCGGAAGAGGAUGGGCAUGCGGCGCAUUAGCUAGACGGCGGGGUAACGGCCCACCGUGGCGACGAUGCGUAGGGGUUCUGAGAGGAAGGUCCCCCACACUGGUACUGAGACACGGACCAGACUCCUACGGGAGGCAGCAGUGAGGAAUAUUGGUCAAUGGGAGAGAUCCUGAACCAGCCAAGCCGCGUGAGGGAAGACGGCCCUAUGGGUUGUAAACCUCUUUUGUCGGAGAACAAAACCCGGGACGUGUCCCGGACUGCGUGUAUCCGAAGAAAAAGCAUCGGCUAACUCCGUGCCAGCAGCCGCGGUAAUACGGAGGAUGCGAGCGUUAUCCGGAUUUAUUGGGUUUAAAGGGUGCGUAGGCGGUCUGUUAAGUCAGCGGUAAAAUUGCGGGGCUCAACCCCGUCGAGCCGUUGAAACUGGCAGACUUGAGUUGGCGGGAAGUACGCGGAAUGCGCGGUGUAGCGGUGAAAUGCAUAGAUAUCGCGCAGAACUCCGAUUGCGAAGGCAGCGUACCGGCGCCAGACUGACGCUGAGGCACGAAAGCGUGGGGAUCGAACAGGAUUAGAUACCCUGGUAGUCCACGCAGU
rnacentral:rRNA from 1 species